rnacentral:sRNA from 1 species
UUUUUUUUUAGGGCACAAUGAUUGAUGCCAUUUGUCCUUAUUUCUACCCUGGAUAUGACGUCCCUAGAGUUCUCGAAGAAGGAGGUU